GACGAACGCUGGCGGCGUGCUUAACACAUGCAAGUCGUACGGAAAGGCCCUGCGUUUGUUGGUUGCUCGAUUGCCGAGCGGGUGUGUAACACGUGAGUAACCUCUCCUUAACUUUGUGGUAACUUCUGGGAACUGGGGCUCAUACCCGAUAUAAGCUCCUGCUGCAUGGUGGUGGUUGGUAAGUUUCGGCGGUUGGGUCAUGACUCGCUGCUUAUCAGCUUGUUGGUGGGGUAGUUGCUUACCAAGGCUUUGACGGGUAGCCUGCCUGAGAGGGUGACCGGCCACAUUGGGACUGAGGUAAGGCGCAGAAUGGUACGGGAGGCAGAAGUGGGGAAUAUUGCACAAUGGGCGGAAGCCUGAUGCAGCAACGCCGGGUGCGGGAUGACGGCCUUCGGGUUAUAAACCGCUUUCGCAUGUGACGAAGCGUGAGUGACGGUAAUGGGUAAAGAAGCACCGGCUAACUACGUG
rnacentral:rRNA from 1 species